rnacentral:tRNA from 1 species
GUAGAUUUAGUUUAAAGAUAGAAUGCUAAUUUUGUAAAUUAGAGGUAGAAUCGGCU